rnacentral:miRNA from 1 species
CCGUCAAUUAUUUUGGUACGU